GAUGAACGCUGGCGGCGUGCCUAAUACAUGCAAGUCGAGCGAACGGACGAGAAGCUUGCUUUUCUGAUGUUAGCGGCGGACGGGUGAGUAACACGUGGAUAACCUACCUAUAAGACUGGGAUAACUUCGGGAAACAGGAGCUAAUACCGGAUAAUAUUUUGAAACGCAUGGUUCAUAAGUGAAAGACGGUCUUGCUGUCACUUAUAGAUGGAUCCGCGCUGCAUUAGCUAGUUGGUAAGGUAACGGCCUACCAAGGCAACGAUGCAUAGCCGACCUGAGAGGGUGAUCGGCCACACUGGAACUGAGACACGGUCCAGACUCCUACGGGAGGCAGCAGUAGGGAAUCUUCCGCAAUGGGCGAAAGCCUGACGGAGCAACGCCGCGUGAGUGAUGAAGGUCUUCGGAUCGUAAAACUCUGUUAUUAGGGAAGAACAUAUGUGUAAGUAACUGUGCACAUCUUGACGUUACCUAAUCAGAAAGCCACGGCUAACUACGUG
rnacentral:rRNA from 1 species